rnacentral:rRNA from 1 species
UACGAAGGGUGCAAACGUUGCUCGGAAUUAUUGGGCGUAAAGCGCGCGUAGGCGGCUUGGCAAGUCGGAUGUGAAAUCCCUCGGCUCAACCAAGGAAGUGCAUCCGAAACUGCUGAGCUUGAGUACUUAAGAGGAUCGCGGAAUUCCCGGUGUAGAGGUGAAAUUCGUAGAUAUCGGGAAGAACACCUAUGGCGAAGGCAGCUCUCUGGGACGGUACUGACGCUGAGACGCGAAAGCGUGGGGAGCGAACAGG